rnacentral:lncRNA from 10 species
UUUUUUGAUCCCUGGGAGAUGAGUCAACACCAAGGGACGACCAGUCCUAAGCCCUGGACAUGGACCUGGGGGUGAGGACAGAAGGGGAUCAGGACCAGCCCUCUCAUCCUGCACACUGAGGCAUGGGUGAUCCCAGGAAGCCACUCACCAGGCACCAGGGUGGCUUCCUGGAGGAGAGGAUGCUGAAGCCGACCUCAAGAAGUGUCUGUGUUAGGUUUAAGGACUCACAAGACUUCUCUGGCUGGACUAAAGAGUCGGGGUCCCACCAUGUUGCCUCCGCUGGUCUCCAAUUCCUGAGCUCAAGCGAUCAGCCUGAAGUGCUGGGAUUACAGGCGUGCUGGGAUUACAGGCGUGAGCCACUGUGCUUGGCCAAUCUAGUAAUUAUUUAAAGUACUUCCUGCUAUUCUAAAAAAAGUUUAUUCCCAUCUC